AGUAUAGAUUUUCCGUAUACAGGAUCAUCUGACCCAAAAUGAUAAGAAUUAUACCCGGGACUAAUCAUGGUUUGGUUCUUAAAAACCGAGCCAAAUCGUUCUACGACCUUAUCUUUGUUCCGUUUAGAUUUUCCUAUGGCUAAACAAUUAACAAUAACAAAAAAAUCUUUAUAUAUAAAGAAGGGUUUCCUUCACUCAUAGGGAGUCCACGUCAGCUGCCACCUAGGAAAGUUACCUCAUGUCCAUGCGACACGUGUCCGAUAGAUGAAACUCACCGUUUCAUUUAAACGGUUUGAUGGGCUUCAGCUUUGAUGGGCUUCAGCAAGGCAUCUCGCGACUCCUCAUGUCAUCUCUGUGGCGGCUCCGCGAUUGCCUCCCUCCGUUGCCGAGACCAAGCUUCCUUCGCAACCGUAAGCCACGUUAUCUCCUAGCUCUCAAAGUCGUCGAUCUCACUUCCAAUUGCAGAAGAUCUCAAGCCGCGGCAGCCAAUCUCACUUCUAUUUUCGUCUGAAGGGUUGAUGGUUGACCGUCUCCGACUCUUCACUUCGUCGUCACCAUUUCGACUCUCUAUAAUUCGUCGUUACCGCGACCCACUUUGAUUAAUCAAUUAUCUUCUUUACUCCUUUCGUCUCCUUUUAUAUCAGAAUUAUGCUUUAUGGUUUGAAUCCAGUGGUUUAUUAUUUUUAUUUUUGUUUGUAAUUGUUUUCAGGAACCACUCAUUCCAGCCAGAAACAUCCGGAUACUCUGUUCACGUAGCUAUGUUCACAAGAAGUUGCUUAGCAGAGGAUGAUACUCUGAUCACGCAGCUAUUCGUAAAACGGAGAUAGUGAAAUUGAGGAGACAAUCAGAGAGAUGGAAGCAACAGAGAUGGAAGCAACGAUGAAAUGAAAUAAUUUGAGCAAAAAUGUUCUACUUGAGGCAUGUAUGCACAAAGUGACAGAAGAGUCAGAAAAACGUGGAGCAGUUUGGUCUGAAAAGUGGCCAGAGUAGAGAUUGUUCAUCAGUGGGUUGAAGACACAUAUGGAAAUCAGCACAAGAGGAUUUCACAGCAGACAUGAUUGUUGAAAAACUAUUGUUUCAGUCAUACUUCAAGGGUGAAGGAAUUGAUUGGUGGUAUGUGAGAAACGUUAUGGAUUGAGAGCUAUAUAUGGAGGUUUUAUUGCUGCAUUGAAGGAUCUGAGACAGUGAGACUCUGUGUGAUUAAUGUACUUUCCUCAAACUUACGACCUUCAUGAUGAUUCAUCAAUUCUCUGCACUGAAGAAGAGGUGCAGCUUGGUGUCUGUAAUAGUUGAAGUGGACCGAAUUCUUAGACCACAAGGAACAUUUAUAGUAAAUGAUGGCAUGGAAAAGAUAGGAGAAAUUGAGAAGAUGAUGGAAUCACUGAAAUGGAAUGUAAGAAUGACACAUUCCAGAUAUGGAGAAGGAGUGAUCUCUGUUCAGAAGUCAUGGUGGCGUCCUACAGAGGUCGAGACCAUUACAUCGGCCAUAGAAAGUGAAAGAGAAUUGGUUUAAUAUAGUUUAAUGAGAAUGUUUCUUUUAUGAUCACGUUGAUUGUUUACAUUGUAUUAGGCCAAUAUGUGUAUCCUUUUUUACAUUGACGAAAUUGUAUACAAGACAUUGUCCCUAUAAUGUAAGCUUUUUAUAAGUUUUUAAUUUGGUCCUAAA